CAAGUACUCCCUCCGUCCGAAAAUACUUGUCAUCAAACUAGAUAAAAAAGAUGUAUCUAGAACUAAUAUACAUCUAGAUACAUCCCGUUUUAUUCAUUUUGAUGACAAGUAUCUCCGGACGGAGGGAGUACUAC
rnacentral:pre_miRNA from 1 species